AGAGUCAACGCUGGCGGCGUGCCUAACACAUGCAAGUCGCACGAGAAAGGGGAGCAAUCCCUGAGUACAGUGGCGCACGGGUGAGUAACACGUGAAUGAUCUACCUCCGAGUGGGGAAUAACUGAGAGAAAUCUUGGCUAAUACCGCAUAAUACCCACGGGUCAAAGCAGCAAUGCGCUUGGAGAGGAGUUCGCGGCCGAUUAGCUAGUUGGCGGGGUAAUGGCCCACCAAGGCGAUGAUCGGUA
rnacentral:rRNA from 1 species